GAUUGCAUAUCAAUAAGCGGAGGAAAAGAAACCAACAGGGAUUGCCUUAGUAGCGGCGAGUGAAGCGGCAAAAGCUCAAAUUUGAAAUCUGGCUCUUUCAGAGUCCGAGUUGUAAUUUGAAGAAGGUAUCUUUGGGUCUGGCUCUUGUCUAUGUUUCUUGGAACAGAACGUCACAGAGGGUGAGAAUCCCGUGCGAUGAGAUGAUCCAGGCCUAUGUAAAGUUCCUUCGAAGAGUCGAGUUGUUUGGGAAUGCAGCUCUAAGUGGGUGGUAAAUUCCAUCUAAAGCUAAAUAUUGGCGAGAGACCGAUAGCGAACAAGUACAGUGAUGGAAAGAUGAAAAGAACUUUGAAAAGAGAGUGAAAAAGUACGUGAAAUUGUUGAAAGGGAAGGGCUUGAGAUCAGACUUGGUAUUUUGUAUGUUACUUCUUCGGGGGUGGCCUCUACAGUUUAUCGGGCCAGUAUCAGUUUGGGCGGUAGGAGAAUUGCGUUGGAAUGUGGCACGGCUUCGGUUGUGUGUUAUAGCCUUCGUCGAUACUGCCAGCCUAGACUGAGGACUGCGGUUUAUACCUAGGAUGUUGGCAUAAUGAUCUUAAGUCGCCCGUCUUGAAACACGGACCAAU
rnacentral:rRNA from 1 species